rnacentral:rRNA from 1 species
GAUGAACGCUGGCGGCGUGCUUAACACAUGCAAGUCGAACGGAGUUCUAUGAUUGAAGUUUUCGGAUGGAUUUCAUAAAACUUAGUGGCGGACGGGUGAGUAACGCGUGGGUAACCUGCCUCAUACAGGGGGAUAACAGCUGGAAACGGCUGCUAACACCGCAUAAUACAGAACUGGCGCAUGUCAGUUCUGUCAAAUAUUUAUAGGUAUGAGAUGGGCCCGCGUCUGAUUAGCUAGUUGGUGGGGUAAUGGCCGACCAAGGCAACGAUCAGUAGCCGGCUUGAGAGAGUGAACGGACACAUUGGGACUGAGACACGGCCCAAACUCCUACGGGAGGCAGCAGUGGGGAAUAUUGCACAAUGGGGGAAACCCUGAUGCAGCGACGCCGCGUGAGUGAAGAAGUAUUUCGGUAUGUAAAGCUCUAUCAGCAGGGAAGAUAAUGACGGUACCUGACUAAGAAGCCCCGGCUAACUACGUGCCAGCAGCCGCAGUAACAC